UACAGAGGUCUCAAGCGUUGUUCGGAUUCAUUGGGCGUAAAGGGUGUGUAGGUGGCGCGCUAAGUCGGGUGUGAAAUUUCGGAGCUUAACUCCGAAACUGCAUUCGAUACUGGCGUGCUUGAGGACUGGAGAGGAGACUGGAAUUCAUGGUGUAGCAGUGAAAUGCGUAGAUAUCAGGAGGAACACCGGUGGCGAAGGCGGCUACCUGGACAGAAACUGACGCUGAGGCGCGAAAGCUAGGGGAGCAAACAGG
rnacentral:rRNA from 1 species